rnacentral:rRNA from 1 species
CCUACGGGAGGCAGCAGUGGGGAAUAUUGGGCAAUGGGCGCAAGCCUGACCCAGCAAUGCCGCGUGAAGGAAGAAGGCUUUCGGGUUGUAAAAUUCUUUUGUCAGGGAAGAGUAGAAGACGGUACCUGACGAAUAAGCCACGGCUAACUACGUGCCAGCAGCCGCGGUAAUACGUAGGUGGCAAGCGUUGUCCGGAUUUACUGGGUGUAAAGGGCGUGUAGCCGGGUUGGCAAGUCAGAUGUGAAAUCCUGCGGCUUAACCGUAGAACUGCAUUUGAAACUGUUAAUCUUGAGUACUGGAGAGGCAGGCGGAAUUCGUGGUGUAGCGGUGAAAUGCGUAGAUAUUAAGAGGAACACCAGUGGCGAAGGCGGUCUGCUAGACAGCAACUGACGGUGAGGCGCGAAAGCGUGGGGAGCAAACAGGAUUAGAUACCCCUGUAGUC